rnacentral:rRNA from 1 species
GCGCAAGCGUUAUCCGGAAUUAUUGGGCGUAAAGAGCUCGUAGGCGGUUUGUCGCGUCUGCUGUGAAAUCCCGAGGCUCAACCUCGGGCCUGCAGUGGGUACGGGCAGACUAGAGUGCGGUAGGGGAGAUUGGAAUUCCUGGUGUAGCGGUGGAAUGCGCAGAUAUCAGGAGGAACACCGAUGGCGAAGGCAGAUCUCUGGGCCGUAACUGACGCUGAGGAGCGAAAGGGUGGGGAGCAAACAGGCUUAGAUACCCUGGUAGUCCACCCCGUAAACGUUGGGAACUAGUUGUGGGGUCCAUUCCACGGAUUCCGUGACGCAGCUAACGCAUUAAGUUCCCCGCCUGGGGAGUACGGCCGCAAGGCUAAAACUCAAAGGAAUUGACGGGGACCCGCACAAGCGGCGGAGCAUGCGGAUUAAUUCGAUGCAACGCG